CAGUGAUUCCCUUAGUAACGGCGAGCGAACAGGGAAGAGCCCAGCGCCGAACCGCCGAUCGUACAGGUCGCGCGGAAUGUGGCGUUACGGAGCGAGCCUUCCCCCGUGGACGGCGGCGACAAGUCUCCCUGACAGGAGCUCCUGCCCAGAGCGGGUGCGAGGCCCAUAGUCGCCGUGCGUCACUCGGGUGGCGAACUCCGAAGAGUCGGGCUGCUUGAGAGUGCAGUCCUAAGCGGGAGGUAAACUCCUCCUAAGGCUAAAUACGGCCGCGAGACCGAUAGCGAACAAGUACCGUGAGGGAAAGUUGCAAAGAACUUUGAAGAGAGAGUUCAAGAGUACGUGAAACUGCUCGGAAGGAAACGGGUGGAUCUUCGAAGUCCGAGCGGAGCGGGAUUCAGUGGCGGGCGGCGAGGGGUGUUUGAACUUCGUACUCCCUCGCGGGGACGAGGGGCGAGCACCGUUCUCCCGUCAGCCGCGCACUUCUCGCUCCCGGUGGACGCCGCAGCCGGUCUGGCGUCGGCAGUGAGGACUGGCCGGGCGAUGGCGUGGGCGUCGAUCUCGCAUCGGCGUCCCGAUUCUGUACCGGUCGCGUUCCCGGUGCGACGCCGGUCCGAGGGAAAGAGUCCGGACUAGUUCCGGACGUGCCGCGGUCUCGCCAUGAGAAUGGCAGAGCGGGAGAGUGGUCCGGUCCUACCGGCCGUGUCGCCCACCACGAGCGUGAGCGACCGGAAAAAGGUGAGCCGUAAGAUCGCGACCUAGCCCGCUAAGGCGAACCGAGGGCUUGCGGCGAGUAGGUCGGUAUUCCACCCGACCCGUCUUGAAACACGGACCAAGGAGUCUAACUUGUGCGCGAGUCAGUGGGACUCGAUUAAGCCCACGGGCGCAAUGAGAGUGAAUUUUUUUGUGUCGUGAUCCCGCGCUUCGGCGUGGGCGCAGCGACGGCCCGACUAAAAAGUUGUCCAGCGAUGCUGGCGCCGGUCGGAGCCCGAGCGUACAGGUUGGUACCCGAAAGAUGGUGAACUAUGCCCGGGCAGGUUGAAGCUAGAGGAAACUCUGGUGGAGGACCGCAGCGGUCUGACGUGCAAAUCGAU
rnacentral:rRNA from 1 species